AAAAUAGGGUUUUCUUAUUUCUUUCCUUUGCAAUAAACAAUUUUCAACAGUAUAAUAGCUUAAAUAGGUGAUUGUGAUGUCACCCUUAGGAUAUAAUCACUGCUUGUUACAUCGUUUCUGUAGAAAAACCAACUCACAUAAGAUGAAAUGUGAUGGGGUGAAAUCAUGGCAGUGUGAUUUUCAAACACCAACUUGCCUUGGAAGGAAAUGUGGGGAUGUGCACUGCUGGAAGCCAUGUGUUCUGAUAUGAGAAGAACUUCUUCAGAAGGUAUCUUAAUGCAUAUGGGGAAACUGAGGCCCAGGGGGCAACUAUUGCAUCCAGGAAAAAAAAAAAAGAAGAUAAUGACUUCUCUGCAACUAAGAUGAAGAUCCACUGAACUUUGGGGUUUGAAAUGCAACGUUAGAACUUCAGACUCCCGGCACCUAGGUCUCCAGCUGCUGGGUGGUGCCAGCAUCAGAGAUACACUCUGCAAAACAUAUACUGUCUUAGGAAAAAGUGACCCUGUUGUCCUUUCAGGCCCAUAUUCCACAGAAGACAAAUGGAGAUGUAAAAGGAAAACUGCAGCUCUGAGUUAAGAGAGAGCAAGUUGUCUGUUCUGAUACAGCCAGGAAAUAAGAUGUUCUGGUUAAUAUGUGCUAAAGAUGUGGUGCUGACUUUCCGACUCAGAAUAUGAUCACAUGUUUUUCUCAUUAAAACUAUAUUGAAUGUUA
rnacentral:lncRNA from 1 species